rnacentral:hammerhead_ribozyme from 15 species
CAGGCGUCUAAGGCAAGUCCCACACUACAUCGCCCCUUACUGAUGAGUCUAGUAAUGUAGGACCAGGACGAAACGCUGC